rnacentral:tRNA from 1 species
GUCAAGUUAGUUUAUAAAAAUAUCAGCCUGUGGAUUUGAAGAUGAGAUACAUUCUCACUUGACC